rnacentral:lncRNA from 1 species
GACCCAAACCCUAAAAUCCAUCUAUAUAAAGGGAGUCUCCAAUUAUUGAUGCCAUAUAUUAUGUUCCUUUGCUGAUUUUAUUUUUCUCUAGAGCUCUCUCUUCUCUCCUCUUCCUCAUCUAAUUCUUCUUCUCCUUUGGAGCAUCUAGGAUAUUAAAAGAAGAAGAAGAGUUCAGCCUUCAAAGAUCCAUGCAAGCUAGCACUUCCAAGGAGCCUGAUCUGCACCGAUCUUCAUAUGGAUGAUCUGUAGAGGUCGAACAUCUUUGUGUAGCUAUGAGCAAUCUGAAGGGACUCUCUCCUAUUUGAGAUAUUUAUGGAGAUCUGCAACCCACAAUCUGCUAACAAGUUUGGAACUUGUUAGACUAGUUUUGAUGGAUCUAACGGUUAAAUCUAGUCUGCAGCAUCGAUUAGAUCGAUGCAGAUUCUUAUUUUUAGAUCUUAUAUUCAUGUUAAAUCAUAUCAAAGCUUUUGGCAUGAUAGUCUAGAUUAGAUCUUAUGCAUAU